AAUAAGGAAACAAAUAUAUAAAAUGAAACCUGAAAAGAAAAUAGCAAAGCCACGCUCGAUCAACUAGGGAAGUAAGACCAGCAUAACGGUUGGUAGAUGGGGCGAUGUCAGUCGAGGUGGUGGAAAGGGUUGAGACUGCUGAACUUGCUCAAAUUUGGUGGAACGAGGAGCGGCGGUAGCUCUAGCAGUUGGAUCCCCCCGCAGAUGUGACAAGGAGAGUAGGGUGGUAAGAGGGCAUGCCAGGGCCCACUUUAAGAGCAUCUAUAUAUCGGCUGAAUAACUCUAUCUAAAGGUGACGUAGGAGGAAAGAAGGAAGACUUGAGAUAAAAGGAAGAAUAAGAUGCAUUAGAUGAAGUAUUUGAUGAAGAUCAAAUAAAUACAUGUGUAUAGUAGACACUAAGACCUAGGUAUAUAAUACAAAUAGAUCCAAAUAAAAAGGAUUCAAAUAACGAUAGAAGAUGAUUCAAGAGUCAGGAGCAACCGAGCAAAUUUGAUUGAAGUACUUCUCAGCUGUGCUGGUCAUCAUGUUGGAUUUCAUUUGGUUAGGUCCAUUUUAUAUCUAAUAAAAUCGAUUAAAUUACAAGGCCUACAAUUUAUGCUAGGAAGUUAAAAGUAGAUAAUCCAAUGUGGGAAAUUGAGAAAGACUCUAACCAACUUAACAGGUGACUUUGAGUGUACCCGUAUGUGAAGUUGCAAAAUGAGUACAUCCUGAAUCUCUCUGGUUCUUAGCUUCGUUCUUGUUUUAUUGCAUAUUAAAUAUAAACAUGUUUACUGUUGUCAAUCAAGUUACACAUCAUCAUGUUUUAUACCGAAUAUUUGAAAAUUAAAAUAUACCAAAUUUUGUCUAUAACACUGGGCGCACCUAGCUUGCUGUUCUCCCUCGAGCACAAGGCCCAAAUGCGCCCACAAGUUGAACAUGUGAUAUCUACC
rnacentral:lncRNA from 1 species